AUUGCUGUGGCUCUGUGAGAGCGUGGCGCUAGCAACGCCAAGGUCGUGGGUUCAAUUCCCACUGUCGAUA
rnacentral:tRNA from 1 species